rnacentral:piRNA from 1 species
UGCGGGAAUCGAGUGCUUGAGUGGGA